UACGUAGGGGGCAAGCGUUGUCCGGAAUCAUUGGGCGUAAAGAGCGUGUAGGCGGACUUAAAGGUCUGAUGUGAAAGCCCGGGGCUUAACCCCGGGUCGGCAGUGGAUACGGGCAGGCUAGAGGUAGGUAGGGGAGAAUGGAAUUCCCGGUGUAGCGGUGAAAUGCGCAGAUAUCGGGAGGAACACCGGUGGCGAAGGCGGUUCUCUGGGCCUUACCUGACGCUGAGGAGCGAAAGCGUGGGGGAGCGAACAGG
rnacentral:rRNA from 1 species